ACGUAUGAUCCAUCUUUUGCUACAGACACAGAAUCUUCUAUUGCCAGCAGAGUUUUGAACAAUCAAAAUUUAGCUCUAACAGAUAAUCAAGUCAGAACUGUUUUUGUUCGAUCAGGUUUUGCACAAGCUUCUCUCAACCUCCGAAUCAGUUUUCAGUUCAAUAGAUUCCAUGAUUUUUACUGGCUCCUACUCAAUGAAGUGCGAUUUUGUACAGACACACAGCCAUUUUUCAGGCCAGUUGUUAUGUUCCUAGUACCGUUGUCCAAUGUUAUCCAACCUAGUGCGGGUGAUCUGAGAAGAGGAUCAACAGAGUUAGUGUGCACUGUUUCCAGUGAAGGAUCGUACACAUGGCAGUGGGAGAGAGAUAAUGUUAUGAUAGGGAAUAAUGGCGACUACACAGUCACCAUUGGAGACGGAAGUAGAACAACUAAGUUGACGAUCAACAAACUAGACUUUAAUGAUACUGCUGAAUAUGAAUGUACGGGAACAACAGUGGAUUUAUCGAACAUAAUGUAUAUACAUUUUUUCAUCCAAGACCUUCAAUUUCCAGAAAUUAUUAUUACUGCACCUGAUGCUAAUAGAUAUCUACGUUACUCUGACCUGUGAGCUCCAUGGUUACCAGUCAUCACUCUCUCCUCCUGUGUGGUUGGACUUGGGUGGCAGUGAAAUAACCGCAUCUACAAAAUACAUGUACACCAUCACUUCUGGUGAAGGAGGGAACACAAUUGUCUUUGAGAAUGGCACUGCUAUCCCUAGUGUGAUUGUCAGCCUUACAAUUCGAGAUCUAUCGUUAGAUGAUGGAGGGAACUACACGUGUCGUGGUGUCAGAAGAGGAGAGAGUGUCACUCAACUUGUGAUCAAAGAUGGCGAGCAACCUACUUCAACCUCUGAUAUUGUUCUGCUACCUGUUGGUACUGUGUAUGCUUUAGUGGCAGUCAUAAUCGUAUUAUUGAUAGCUUUGGUUGCUUACAGCAUCUCGGUCCUGUACCUUCUUUGGAAGAUCAAGAUUCUCUCAGCUCGUUUAUCAGCGCCCACUCAAGCAAACAUACCACUAUUUGCUCCAAUGCAGGACAGGGAACAUACUUCAUCUUCUGUGAAUGAAGACACCUCAAGAUGUUAUUGAAAGUUCUCAGUACGAGAACGUUGAUUUAAAUUAGCUAAGUAAACAGUGACAGUUUUUAAUAUGUGUGUUUGUUGCAU